CGGCGGGCGGGCGGGCGGGCGCGGAGGGAGGGGCAGACAGCCUGCCUGCGCGGAAGGGAAACUGACAGGGCCGCCGCCCACGCUGAGGGAGGGACCGACAGGAGCCUCUGGCAGCGGGACCCAGGUUCAUCUGGGCAGCAGACAUAAGGCAGUUGUAUAUCAGAGCCCUUGCUCCAAACAGCUCAUGAUACCAGGAACUGAAAAUGUACUGCUUUGGAUUGAUUAACAGGAUCAUGAAGGACUAUGGACCUUGGGACUGUGGAUUGGAAAAGCAGUUGAUCACUUUAAGUGCCGCUUAAUGGACCAUCCUAGUAGAACAUGGAAGACAGUGAUGCUGAGUGUGAUUUAAACUGUGGGUGCCUGGAGCAAGAGGUUUCAGAGAAGAAGAAUUUUAGUUUGUUGCCUAGAGAUCAUUCUUGUGAUGUUUUGAUGAAAAAUAUGGCAGCUUUUUGCCCUUGUCUGCCUAAGGCUAAAGUGAAGAGUUUUGGAUUAAUUCCGUUGGCAGAGGAAAUCUCAAAACAGCCUAGUAUAGACUCUGUUAUGUGGUUAUUAGUGGUAACUCUAAUGAAGAUUUAUAAUGAAAAGGAGCAAGCUGAGCAAGAAAAAAUACAACGUGUAGAACAAUCUGAGGAGCAAAGAAGCACCAGGAGUGGAGUUAUGUGGAAUGGAGCUGUGUUCAAGAUGAACAGACGAAGAAUGGAAUAAAGGAAGUGGUGACCUCGGGGCAAGAUCCCACCCAGAGAAGUUUCCAGCUUGUAAAAAGGAAUUAAAGAAAAACUUAGAACCA